UACGAAGGGGGCUAGCGUUGCUCGGAAUCACUGGGCGUAAAGCGCACGUAGGCGGCUUUCUAAGUCAGGGGUGAAAUCCUGGAGCUCAACUCCAGAACUGCCUUUGAUACUGGAGAGCUCGAGUCCGGAAGAGGUGAGUGGAACUCCGAGUGUAGAGGUGAAAUUCGUAGAUAUUCGGAAGAACACCAGUGGCGAAGGCGGCUCACUGGCCUGGUAUUGACGCUGAGGUGCGAAAGCGUGGGGAGCAAACAGG
rnacentral:rRNA from 1 species